AGGUCACAUGCUGUGCCACUCAGGCUCUGACAGUUGUAUGUGUCUGUGUAUGUGUAUACAUGCAUACUGCAGAGGCCAGAAGAAGGCAGAUAUGACUCUACUGAUAUCGGUACUGGAAACUGAAUUCUGGACCCCUGCAAGAGCAGCCAACCAUUUCAACCACUGAGCCAACCUUUCAAGUCCCAGCCUUCAUUUUAUAAAUUUCUGUCAUAUUUUCCAUUAUAAGCGUUUAUCCAUCAGUAUGGCAAAUACUCGUGACAAUUAACGUAUAAAGAUUUUGCAGUCAUCCUCUUCUCUUAUUCUUUUUCAAUUUUUCUGCUCCCUGUUUCACAGUGACCCCUGAAUCUUGGAAGAAGGGGGUAUGACAUAGAUGUCCCAUUUAGAGCUUGGAAGCCUUCAGUUCCUUAUCAUUUGCAUUCUGAUCAGCUCUUGGUCUCUGUGUUAACCUCUAUCUAGGGCAAAAGGAAGCUUCUCUAAUAAGGGUUGAGAGAUGAACUUUACUUUCAUUGGUGUGUUAAACUACAGAUAUAAGAACGAGAACACA
ensembl:lincRNA Gm28935 predicted gene 28935